GUCUGUGAAGCCACAGCACCCGAGUUCAUGGGCCCCAAGAAGAAACACCUGGACUAUUUGAUUCAGUGUACGAAUGAAAUGAAU